AAGACACGCACUUAGAAUUUUGGCAUUGCGGCGCUAGUGGCGACAAGUAUCUGACUGCACGGCAUUUCGCUGCGACGUAGACAUGAAAAAAGUCCCCAGGUCACUACUGAUAGCUAUUGUGGGGGUAUUAUUCGCGAUAGAACUCUCUGAACAAUGGACGGUAAUUGACCCCAGAGCUUGGAAAAAUGGAAAGUGCUACUUCAGAGGAGGAGUAUAUAAAGUUGGCGAGGCAACGUAUGAUACAAAGCAGUGCGUGAAAUGGGUCUGUUAUCGACAAAAUAGGACUGAUGGCGCGAUGUUGGGUCUCGGGUGUGGAAAGGUGGACGCAACGCCACCGUGCAAACUGAUACCUACGAGGGAAGGUAUCAACCCGGAAUGUUGCGAGUAUGCACUGUGCGGAAACAGGCGAUUGGCCCAAUAGACUAUUGGUACUUGAACAAAGACAACUUGAGUGCAAGAAGCACGUUAUUA